CCCAAAGUCAAAAUAACCAUCAUAGGUAGAUUUGGAGCAUCAAGUAAUCACGAAAGUAUGACUAGAGACAUGUAAGGGAGACUUCCUGAACGCUUCAAAAAGUGGCAAGAAUGACGGCUUCAAAAGGUCCUGGACAAGAGCACCUGACAAACCUGUUCUGAGUCAGAUGCCACCCUCAGGGAAUGAAUCAACUGUAAUCAGGAGAAGACUCCAAUCCUCCUGCAUCAGGUAUCUACCCUAGGUGAAUCAAGUGCAGCACGGAAGGGAAGUGCUAUGGGACCAUGGAGGAUGGAAGUGGAGAAGAUACAUGCAUGUUUCCUGUUGUGCCCAGAAUUCAGGAGACUCCACAGUGUGUGGGAGCUCAGAGACUUGAACAGGACUAGGUGAGCACAACAUAUUCUGGACAGAAAAGCAGGCUCCCUGACAGCCAGAGAUGCUGCACUCUCAGUUCAAGCAGGAACUUUCUUCAAAUACAGAAAGAAUGCAAUGACAUUCUGAGAACCACAAACAACAAAUAUUUCUCUUUUAUUGUUGUUACUCCUUUAUACCAGCCAGCUACCUAUAAAAAUUAAGACAUGAAAGGAAAGAGAAAGGUAGAAUAAAUCAUAGUUCCCUUUAUGGUCAGCCCUUCCUAACUCAUCAGUAAGCCAAAAGAAGAGAGAAUUGGCAGAAUGAGAGCAAAUGCAAUGAAAACACUUGCCAGUUUUAUGCUAUCCUUUCAUGCUCUGGCCAAGCAAAGCACACAGGCAUGUGCAAUCCUCAAAGUACAUGUGUUUGUAUAUUCAUUACACAACUUAAGUGCUCUUAUAUCUUGUUAUGGAUUAAAAAUUGACAGUCAACUUAACACCCACUGAAUUAAAUCAGCAUGCUACUGAGUGUAGAUGGUACACCUGAGGAAAAUUGUCAGCAUAAAUAGAGACGUGGAGAAGAGCUAGGCAUUGUGGGUUCUCCUAAAUGUUGCUGUUUUGAGCUGUUUGUUCUCCUGGAGGAGCUCAUCAUAACUAGCUUCCCCAGUGUGAGUUUGACCAUCGUCAUUGGAGGAGCUUGGGACCUUGUUGGUGAGAGUGGCUGUGGUUCACUUUCGGGGAGCUCUGGUCCUUACAUGGAGCAUUACAUGCUUCCUGGCUCCAGAGAGGAAGAUGUGUGCUAUUUUAUCUCCAGGAGAAGUUUGUCAUGCUGACUUUCUGGCAUUUACUUGACUAUUAUCAUCAGGGUAGCUUGGAAACUCCGUGUCACUGAGGAUGGCUGUGGUACUCUUCAAGAAAGCCCCGGUUCCUAUUUUCAGUGUGACUUUUCAGCUCCAGGGUAGAACCCUCAACCUACCAGCACAGCUCCUUCUCCCCACUGGCAUAGACUUUCUAGCUUCCACCACUGACCUUUGGGCCUUCCCAGUGCAGAUCCAUAAAACAGACUGGCAUGAAUCCUUCUUGUGGGCUUUAGACUUCCAAUGACCUUGUGGGAGGUAUUGUCAUGGGCUCUAGGUUUUCAUUUGGAUUCAUGCAGGACAUUGCUGUGGGAUCCAGGCCCUUGGCUGAAUGUUCUAUGUCUUUAGUGUUGGGGACAGAUUUCCUGCAAUUUCUUUUGUUUAACUCUGGG